rnacentral:ribozyme from 1 species
AGAGGAAGAGGGAGAAGAGGAAGAAGAAGAGGAUUGAGAAAUGUUAGGCGAUUUAGAAGAUUUAGAAGUACACCCUAAUACUCCAGAAUAAAAUUUUUUCUUCUUUUCUUUCUUUUCACCAUUCUCUUCUCCUCCACUCUCUUCACUCUUUUGUGGGGAAGAAAGG